UAUUGGUCAAUGGGCGCAAGCCUGAACCAGCCAUGCCGCGUGCAGGAAGACGGCUCUAUGAGUUGUAAACUGCUUUUGUACUAGGGUAAUUUGCGGUACGUGUACCGUAUUGAAAGUAUAGUACGUAUAAGCAUCGGCUAACUCCGUGCCAGCAGCCGCGGUAAUACGGGGGAUGCAAGCGUUAUCCGGAUUUAUUGGGUUUAAAGGGUGCGUAGGCUGUGAGGUAAGUCAGCGGUGAGAUGCCCCCGCUCAACGGGGUGAAGUGCAAUUGAUACUGCCUUGCUGGAAUGCGGAUGCCGUGGGAGGAAUGUGUGGUGUAGCGGUGAAAUGCAUAGAUAUCACACAGAACACCGACUGCGAAGGCAUCUCACGGAUCCGCGAUUGACGCUGAUGCACGAAAGCGUGGGUAUCAAACAG
rnacentral:rRNA from 1 species